AUGGGCGGGAGCCUCGCCCAGCUGCUCCUCUCAUGCCUCGCCGGCGACCGCCUCCGCCGCGUCCUCCCGCCGGCGCACGCCGUCGCCGUCGUCUCGGGCCUCCUCCCGGACCUCUUCCUCGCCAACCUCCUCCUACGCGGCUACUCCAAGCUCGGCCGCCUCGGGGACGCCCGCGCCCUGUUCGACGGUAUGCCGAGCCGGAACCUCGUCUCCUGGGGCUCCGCCAUCUCCAUGUACGCGCAGCACGGCCGCGAGGACGACGCGCUCGCCCUCUUCGCCGCCUUCCGGGGCGCCGGCGGCGAGCCGCCCAACGAGUUCCUGCUCGCCAGCGCCCUCAGGGCCUGCGCGCAGUCGAGGGCGGCCCGCUUCGGCGAGCAGGUGCACGGCGUCACCGCCAAGCUCGGCCUGGACGCCAACGUCUUCGUCGGGACCGCGCUGGUCAACCUGUACGCCAAGGCUGGCCGCAUCGACGCGGCGAUGUCGGUCUUCGACGCCCUCCCGGUGAGGAACCCGGUCACCUGGACCGCGGUGAUCACGGGGUACUCUCAGGCUGGGCAGGCCAGGGUUGCAUUGGAGCUGUUUGGGAAGAUGGGGCUCGACGGCGUCCGGCCCGACCGGUUUGUGCUGGCGAGCGCCGCCAGCGCCUGCUCUGCGCUUGGGUUUGUAGAGGGCGGCAGGCAGAUACACGCCUACGCGUACCGGACAGCGGCGGAGUCAGAUGCGUCGGUGACCAACGCGCUGAUCGAUCUGUACUGUAAGUGCUCCAGGCUCUCGUUGGCUCGCCGGCUGUUUGAUUCCAUGGAGAACCGCAAUCUUGUGUCGUGGACGACGAUGAUCGCUGGCUACAUGCAGAAUUCGCUCGAUGCUGAAGCCAUGUCCAUGUUCUGGCAGCUGAGCCGGGCUGGGUUGCAGCCGGAUGUUUUCGCCUGCACAAGCAUCUUGAACUCGUGUGGCUCUUCGGCAGCGGUAUGGCAAGGAAGGCAGGUACAUGCCCACGCCAUAAAGGCUGAUCUAGAGUCCGAUGAAUAUGUCAAGAAUGCUCUGAUUGACAUGUAUGCUAAAUGCGAGCAUCUAGCAGAAGCGAGAGCAGUAUUCGAAGCCUUGGCAGAAGAUGAUGCGAUUUCUUACAAUGCAAUGAUCGAAGGAUACGCAAGGCUGGGUGACCUUACAGGAGCAGUCGAAAUAUUCAGUAAGAUGAGAUAUUGCUCACUAAAGCCAAGCCUACUGACAUUUGUUUCGCUGCUUGGGGUGUCGUCGUCUCGGUCUGACCUUGAACUGAGCAAGCAGAUUCACAGUCUCAUCGUCAAAUCAGGAACUUCGUUGGACCUAUAUGCAGGGAGUGCUCUGAUCGAUGUCUAUUCAAAGUUUUCCCUUGUGGACGAUGCCAAAGUUGUGUUCAGCCUGAUGCACAACAGGGACAUGGUAAUCUGGAAUGCUAUGAUUUUUGGCCUUGCGCAGAAUGAGCGAGGGGAAGAGGCUGUGAAGCUCUUUACCCAGCUUCGCGUCUCCGGGCUAACACCUAAUGAGUUCACGUUUGUUGCACUGGUGACUGUGGCAAGUGCUCUGGCAAGCAUGUCUCAUGGACAGCAGUUCCAUGCCCAGAUCAUCAAAGAAGGUGCAGACAGUGACCCCCAUGUUUCAAAUGCUCUCAUGGACAUGUAUGCAAAGUGUGGCUUCAUCGAAGAAGGACGGCAGUUGUUUGAGUCAACAUCGGGAAAGGACGUCAUCUGUUGGAACUCGAUGAUUUCGACAUAUGCGCAGCACGGUCAUGCCGAGGAAGCUCUUCGUGCUUUUGGGAUGAUGGGAGGGGCUGGAGUAGAGCCGAACUAUGUGACAUUUGUCGCUGUGUUGUCAGCAUGUGCUCAUGGAGGCCUUGUGGAUGAAGGCUUACAGUAUUUUAACUCCAUGAACACCAAAUACACGGUUGAACCGGGCACCGAGCACUAUGCUUCUGUGGUCAACCUUUUUGGUCGUGCAGGCAAACUGCAUGCUGCCAAGGAGUUUAUCGAAAGGAUGCCGAUUGAACCAGCUGCGGUUGUUUGGAGGAGCUUGCUGAGUGCCUGCCAUCUGUUUGGUAAUGUUGAAAUCGGGACGUAUGCCGCUGAAAUGGCACUCUUGGCGGAUCCUAUGGACAGUGGCCCCUCUGUUCUUAUGUCGAAUAUUUAUGCCUCUAAAGGACUGUGGUCUGAUGCACAGAAGUUGAGACAGGGGAUGGACUGUGCUGGCGUUGUGAAGGAAGCAGGAUAUAGCUGGUGA
rnacentral:rRNA from 1 species